UUUAUUUCUCGUGUUGAACAUGAUAUCUCACUCGUUCGCUGCGCUCACUCGUGAGAUAUCAUGUUCAGCACUCGAAAUAAAUCUGGUAUUUCCGCGUAUUUCUAUACGAUUUUAUAUCCGGGACUUGAAUUUGCCCCCCAUUAGCUGCGUUCCCAAUUUUUAAACUCGAUGCCUCCUCUAGUGUAGCCUGCGCGGCAGGCGGUAUUUCAACAGGCAGCGAAAAUUAGGGAGGCAAAGGAAAUACCGUCUGCCGCAAAACUAGGGGUUUUUGAAUUACCCGUCCGCUGGUGAACGGGAAAAACGGAUUGGUUAGUAUUUUUAUGUAG